UGAAAUCUGGCUCUCGGGCCCGAGUUGUAAUUUGUAGAGGAUGACUUUGAUGCGGUGCCUUCCGAGUUCCCUGGAACGGGACGCCAUAGAGGGUGAGAGCCCCGUCUGGUUGGAUGCCAAAUCUCUGUAAGUCUCCUUCGACGAGUCGAGUAGUUUGGGAAUGCUGCUCUAAAUGGGAGGUAUAUGUCUUCUAAAGCUAAAUACCGGCCAGAGACCGAUAGCGCACAAGUAGAGUGAUCGAAAGAUGAAAAGCACUUUGAAAAGAGAGUUAAAAAGUACGUGAAAUUGUUGAAAGGGAAGCGUUUAUGACCAGACUUGGGCUUGGUUAAUCAUCUGGGGUUCUCCCCAGUGCACUUUUCCAGUUCAGGCCAGCAUCAGUUUUCGCCGGGGGAUAAAGACUUCGGGAAUGUGGCUCCUCUCGGGGAGUGUUAUAGCCCGUUGUGUAAUACCCUGGCGGGGACUGAGGUUCGCGCUUCUGCAAGGAU
rnacentral:rRNA from 1 species